GCCUGGCUGGCUCAGUUGGUAGAGUACAUGACUCUUGAUCUUGGAGUUGUGAGGUUGAGCUUCAUGUUGGGUG
rnacentral:tRNA from 1 species